rnacentral:rRNA from 1 species
AGAAUUCAGCGCGGCGCGCGGCUCCGGGGCUGCUGUAGUCUGGGAUCCCUUGGACCCGACUGCGGUGCUGCGCCGGGCCCCGCCGUGUGCACUUUCUGCCGGCAGAGAGCCACAACCGGUUCGGCGUUGUGGCGGUGAGAUGUCAGGUGGGGUUGUAGGUGGGGGCGCUUGCGUCCCUACCAGCCCUGCUUGUCGAGCCGCCUCCGGACCGAGGAACUGCCACGCGCUUCGAGGCCACCCUCCUCUCGGGGUGAGUUCGACUGGGAGAGASUGGGCAACCGUGUCUCCUGAACGCUUACUUUCGAUCAGCGCGGGGCUGGCCGGGCGCAUUCAGUGUGGGUUUGUGGCGAGUCUGUCGGCACUCCACCCGACCCGUCUUGAAACACGGACCAAGGAGUCUAACAUGCGCGCGAGUCAUUGGGUGGUACGAAACCCAAAGGCGCAGUGAAAGCGAGGUCGGUCAAACGCCUAGGUGGGAUCCGUCCCCUGAAGCUCUCUCCGAGGGUCAUUGGGGGGCGGCGCACCACCGGCCCGUCCCGUCUGCGUCGGCAGUGGGGCGGAGCAAGAGCGCGCACGCUGGGACCCGAAAGAUGGUGAACUAUGCCUGAGUAGAACGAAGCCAGAGGAAACUCUGGUGGAGGUUCGUAGCGAUUCUGACGUGCAAAUCGAUCGUCAAACUUGGGUAUAGGGGCGAAAGACUAAUCGAACCAUC